AGUGGAAUUGCUGGGUCAUACGAUAACUCUUUGUUUAAUUUCUGAAGAACUGCCAAACUUUUUUCCACAGUGGCUGCAUCAUUUACAUUCCCAGCAGCAAU
rnacentral:pre_miRNA from 1 species